UUCAUUCAACAUCUAUUUACGGAGCACCUGUGACCUCCUUAGCCCAAGCAAGCUCCAAAUCCCGGUGGAAAUCUCAGGCCUCUCCCAAAGGACCCGGGACCUCAGAAGCUCUGAGCUGCUCUCCUCAACGCUUUAAUCUCUUCUUGGUGAAGCCCCCCACCCUAUUACUAAGGAACCGCUGCAGCUGCUACAGAUAGAAGAAACACAGGGACAUCAAGUUAUGAAAGGCCAACAGACUUCCAUCCUUCCUUCCGUGAAACUUCACCAAGCACCCACCUGCUACUAGAUCCAAGAAUACAAAGCCAGUGGAGAGCCCCCCUCCUCUUUAUAGGGUUGUUCACAGGUUUGUGGGAGUUGAGCAGGUACGCAAAGAGCUCCAAUGGUGUUCUGUGAGAUAAAGUCCUCUGCAAGCAAGCCUUUUUUGGUCAAAGAAAUGAAGAGCCAGUGCGGAAAUCAGA